rnacentral:rRNA from 1 species
AGCAGCCGCGGUAAUUCCAGCUCCAAUAGCGUAUAUUAAAGUUGUUGCAGUUAAAAAGCUCGUAGUUGAAUUUCGGGAUCAAUAUUUCGGUCAUGCCGUUGGUAUGCACUGUUAUCAUUGAUUUCUCACCUUCUAAAGAACCGUAAUGCCAUUAAUUUGGUGUUACGGAGAAUUAGGACUGUUACCUUGAAAAAAUUAGAGUGUUUAAAGCAGGCUCACGCUUGAAUACAUUAGCAUGGAAUAAUGAAAUAGGACGUUCGAUCUUAUUUUGUUGGUUUCUAAGAUUGACGUAAUGAUUAAUAGGGAUAGUUGGGGGCAUUAGUAUUCAAUUGCCAGAGGUGAAAUUCUUGGAUUUAU